UAAUCCACAUCGGGAAAGUAAAACCCUUCAAACAUAGUCCGCUGUGGGACAUAUAAAAGUCACUUUUAAGCGGUUCUGUUUUGAAAUAUAAACACUCGACAAACUUUUAAAAUUUAACAUCUCAAUAGCGCUAAUUUAGCAGAGCUACGUGGCGGAGCAGCUUCAGUUUCUGCUAAUUGACCUUAAGCUCUCGGCUUUUCCCGGAGCUCUUAACAUCCCGGCUGUCAGCCACUUCCUUACUGGAGAUGUUGUUUGCACUUCUGCUUAUAAAUCUUAAACUGAAAGAGAAACGAACACUGCUGGAUCUGCUCGCUCAAAGGCUGGUGAUCGAUGUCUUAACCCAAAAAGAAGAACAGAUGGUGGGCUGGUUCCCAUAGCAGCGCUGUCGAUCUCUGCACCCUCCGAUGGCCACCAUUGCACUAUAACAUAAAAAGCUGACAAAAAGCAGAAACCUCCUCAGAAAUCCGCUGUGCUACAUGCAAGAUGGCAGCCUUAUGUGAAUAGCCAGAUGCUUCCCCAAAGAAUCAUAUCAAGUUUCUGGGUAACGUCUCCAAUCGUCCUAAAUGGAACGACAAGAAAACCAACCAUCAUUGUUCUUUCAGAUAAUCAGACGUGGCUGAUUACCCCAAGCCUGAAACCACACGCUAAACUUGAGUAAUGCAAUGUUUGUCUUAGAUGGACACAUAAGGACACACUGUCAUCGAUCUUUCCAGAACUUACAGCGGUAUAGUUUGCCAAGAGGAAUAAUUCAAAAAUCUUGUAACCUUUUUUUAUUUUUAUGGGAAAGUAGUCGUGUUCUCUGCAGAAGAAGAGGGGAUUGUAAUUACUUUUGGAAACAGUGUAGUUUUUGUGAAUGAGGUUUGGCAAUAAAAAGGCAAUACAUAACCUCAAAAAGCCCAACUAGAGAAAUAUUUUAUGAAAGUUACGGACUUAACAAGAGUGUUAGACUUUUUCUUUGUCUUCCACCCUAGACGACUGUUCAUGAAUGAAACGAGGAGGUUAAUUGAGAUGAUUUAUAUUCUGCUGCAGAUGAAAACAUAAAGGUCAACAUACCAGAAG